GACGAACGCUGGCGGCGUGUCUAAUACAUGCGAGUCGAGCGGACGGAUGGGAGCUUGCUCCCAGACCGUCAGCGGCGGACGGGUGAGUAACACGUGGGCAACCUGCCUGUAAGACUGGGAUAACUCCGGGAAACCGGGGCUAAUACCGGAUAACUCUUUCCCUCACAUGAGGGAAAGCUGAAAGAUGGCAUCUCGCUAUCACUUACAGAUGGGCCCGCGGCGCAUUAGCUAGUGGGUGAGGUAACGGCUCACCAAGGCGACGAUGCGUAGCCGACCUGAGGGGGUGAUCGGCCACACUGGGACUGAGACACGGCCCAUACUCCUACGGGAGGCAGCAGUAGGGAAUCUUCCGCAAUGGACGAAAGUCUGACGGAGCAACGCCGCGUGAGUGAUGAAGGUGUUCGGAUCGUAAAACUCUGUUGUCAGGGAAGAACAAGUACCGGAGUAACUGCCGGUACCUUGACGGUACCUUACCAGAAAGCCACGGCUAACUACGUG
rnacentral:rRNA from 1 species